rnacentral:rRNA from 1 species
CCUACGGGUGGCAGCAGUGGGGAAUAUUGCACAAUGGGGGAAACCCUGAUGCAGCGACGCCGCGUGAGCGAAGAAGUAUCUCGGUAUGUAAAGCUUCAUCAGUAGGGAAGAAAAUGACGGUACCUGAGUAAGAAGCUCUGUCCAAAUACGUGCCAGCAGCCGUGGCAAUACGCAUGGAGCAAGCGUUAUCCGGAUUUACUGGGCGUAAAGGGAGCGUAGGCGGCCUGCCAAGUCAGAUGUGAAAUACCGGGGCUCAACCCCGGGGCUGCAUUGGAAACUGGCAGGCUGGAGUGCCGGAGAGGCAUGCGGAAUUCCUAGUGUAGCGGUGAAAUGCGUAGAUAUUAGGAAGAACACCGAUGGCGAAGGCAGCCUGCUGGACGGUGACUGACGCUGAGGCUCGAAAGCGUGGGGAGCAAACAGGAUUAGAUACCCUUGUAGUC